rnacentral:lncRNA from 1 species
AAGUCCUGUGGCAAGGCUAUCAAACUUAUUUUUGUAAUCGGAUGCAUAUUCUGUUUCUUCCUCUGCUAGCUAUCUAGUGGGAAACUGAGACAAGAGGAGACUCACUGAACAAGUGUUAAAGCUUAUAUUUAAUCAGAAGAUGCUGAACAUUUACAGAAGAGGUAAUAAACAGAAAAGACACUGGAUUUAGAGAAAAGCAGCUGUUAAAAAACACUUCUUCAGAGAUCUGAAAUGCUGGGACUGAGUUUGAGAGAAACCGUCGGGAGAACAGCUCUGAAGAGCCUUUCAUCAAAGGGCAGGAAUGAAUGGAACAAAUCUAAUGAGAAUGCAAGAUAUCAGCCUUUCUCAGACUUUAAAGGAACUCCUUUGAGUGGUCAUGAAUAUGACCUUCUAUCUUCUUUUACCAAGUGCAACUCCAAGACUAGAAGUCACUAGCCUGAGAUAAUUAAAACCUGGAAUCACUCACACAAAUGAUCAGGUAAGAAGCUGGGGUGGUGAGCACAGAUUUUUCCAGCUUGUGUUACAUUGAUCCUCUGUCAUCAGGCUCAAUUAAUAGGGUUAAACAGUUCUUCAAGAAAGAAUAGUGUUGGUAUUUUCCAUGUGAAGCAGUCACGAUGAGGACUGUGUCCUCUGAUACGCACG